rnacentral:rRNA from 1 species
GAACUCGAAGAGUAGGGCGGGACACGUGGUAUCCUGUCUGAAUAUGGGGGGACCAUCCUCCAAGGCUAAAUACUCCUGACUGACCGAUAGUGAACCAGUACCGUGAGGGAAAGGCGAAAAGAACCCCGGCGAGGGGAGUGAAAAAGAACCUGAAACCGUGUACGUACAAGCAGUGGGAGCACCUUCGGGUGUGACUGCGUACCUUUUGUAUAAUGGGUCAGCGACUUAUAUUCUGUAGCAAGGUUAACCGUAUAGGGGAGCCGCAGGGAAACCGAGUCUUAACUGGGCGUUAAGUUGCAGGGUAUAGACCCGAAACCCGGUGAUCUAGCCAUGGGCAGGUUGAAGGUUGGGUAACACUAACUGGAGGACCGAACCGACUAAUGUUGAAAAAUUAGCGGAUGACUUGUGGCUGGGGGUGAAAGGCCAAUCAAACCGGGAGAUAGCUGGUUCUCCCCGAAAGCU